CAUAUAAUCACCACAUAAAUAAGCUGCAGAUCAGCCAUGGCGAAGACAUCGUUGGAGAUCCGUAGAUCAAACAUGAGUGAUGAGAUGCAGCGUGAGGUUCUUCAGGUCGCUCUUCUGGCUGUGAAUAUGUACACAGGGGAUAAUGACAUUGCUCGCUACAUCAAGACGGAGUUUGACAGAAGGCAUGGGGGCUCCUGGCACUGCAUUAUAGGGAACUUUAGUGCCUGUGUGUCCUCUAACACAGACAGUUAUAUCAGCUUCUCUGUUGCAGGCAAAAGAAUUGUGCUCUUCAAAACCGGCUGAGGUUCAGCAACAGUUCAAACACAAUUUAUUUUAUCCACAUAAUUAAUAAAACAUCCUCCUUCA